AGCAAAAUCACCAGUGUUAAAUUUUCAGGGAUGGUGUUAAAUACACAGUGUUGAUGUUGUUUUAACACUAUCUGGUAAUAAAAUAACACUGCCAUUGCUAGGCCAGUGUUAUAUUCACGACAGUGUCAGUGUUAAACAAGGGUGUUAUCAGAUUUCACUCUGAGCGGUGUAAAUCAAGCCACGCCUCCACUAAACAUAUCCUGUCAGGGAUUUUACCGCCAUUUUCUUUCACAGGAGGACUGAAGAGAUCAGAUGCUAGUUUGGUGAAAGUUCACACUGAGUGCUUCAAAUCAUUCAGAAGAGAUGCUGUUUUUAGGGCAGUUUAUUAAAGAAGACCUGACAUGGAUGACUUCCAAUGAGAAACGACUGCUAAUACUUAUAUAAAUUCAUUACAGAAGGACCCUACCAGACUAUAUUUGAAUACGGCAUACCCAUGAAUUCUGGAACUGUUAUUCCUUAACCCAGUUUGGAGGAUAAGAGCUUACCAACUAGUUAUAAAUAUGCUGAGGUGAUGUAUUGCAAAAUAGCCAACAUACAACAAUAUGGAUGACCCUCUGUCUGGUCAACAGGAGUUUAAAUAUGGACGGGACAGUGAUGUGGCAGCUCUUCCCUGGCUCAUUCACCUCUUGCCUUUCAUUUGUGAAAGGAAGAAA